rnacentral:rRNA from 1 species
AUUGAACGCUGGCGGCAUGCCUUACACAUGCAAGUCGAACGGUAACGCGGGGCAACCUGGCGACGAGUGGCGAACGGGUGAGUAAUGUAUCGGAACGUGCCCAGUUGUGGGGGAUAACUGCUCGAAAGAGCAGCUAAUACCGCAUACGACCUGAGGGUGAAAGCGGGGGAUCGCAAGACCUCGCGCAAUUGGAGCGGCCGAUAUCAGAUUAGGUAGUUGGUGGGGUAAAGGCUCACCAAGCUGACGAUCUGUAGCUGGUCUGAGAGGAAGACCAGCAACACUGGGACUGAGACACGGCCCAGACUCCUACGGGAGGCAGCAGUGGGGAAUUUUGGACAAUGGACGCAAGUCUGAUCCAGCCAUGCCGCGUGCGGGAAGAAGGCCUUCGGGUUGUAAACCGCUUUUGUCAGGGAAGAAAAGGCUCCUUCUAAUAUAGGGGGCUCAUGACGGUACCUGAAGAAUAAGCACCGGCUAACUACGUGCCAGCCGCCGCGGUAA